UUUCUCCUUAAUAUUACCAUAAAAUACAAGCAUGUCAAAUUUUUCCACAUCUCUUGGGUAUAUUUUAAUGGAAUUAACAGAACCAUUCAAAGCACGUACAAUUUCAUGAUUGUCUUCAGCUUGAUCCUCAUUCCUUAAUUGUUUUUGAGAGUCUGUUUCAGUCAAUUCAGAACCUCCACCUAUUUGAUGUGAUGUUGAAGGCGAUACGUUGAAAUUCCUUCUAUCAGGACGGGAUGGCAUAUUAUUGUGAAACCGUCGCUGAUCGUUUGCGAGCCUUAGUAAUCUUUGAAAUGGAUUUAUAUACAGCGAAAUCUGGACUGACGUCAGAGUUGAGCCCAAACAUCUGCUUCGUUGUCAGAAGUGACUUCCUUAGGUGCUAAUCCUCCAAGACUCCUGUGUGGUGUUGAAUAAUAAUUUUCAACAAUAUCUGGAAGGACAUCUAUAUAUCGGUUCUGCACAUCCAUAAGAUCCAUGCUCCAUUGUACAUUCCGUCCACUAACUCUAAUGUUUGGAACUCUAGUCGGUCGUCGAACUUGUCGCUGUAAUGUAUAGGCGUCUUGUUUUUGUAACCAUUUUUUAAUAAAAUAUUUACUAAAUUUAAACUCUUUGUUUGAUUUCAAAGCGUCAUAAAGUUUGGAUGGUGUGGUGUAAGCUGCUGGAUUAGAAAUAUCAUAAUAGUACUGUUCUAAAAACUUCUCUUUCUCAGUCAUUUUUAAAAACUGUAGUCUUUAGCGUCGUUUUCCAAAUUUGUGAACAAAAACUGCUUCCAUAUGUCCGUACUAGCGUAGACAUUCAUGUUAUUCCAAAAAAUUAUGAGUUCUUGUUGAUCACAUUUAUAUUUUGCCAGCAAAUCACUAUAACUUUUCUCUGGGUCCAGCUUGGUGAAAGCCAAUUCAAAGUAUAAAAUUAGUUUGAU